UAUCUCAUGUGCUUGCCGGCGAAGAUGUGAUAGAAUUCCACGACUAAACGAUCGUUCGAACGAAUGUUGCGAUUAAAAAAGUGAUUUACGAUGAACCUAACUGCAGGAAAUCCUCAUGGGAACGGCUUGCUUUAUGCUGGUUUCAAUCAGAAUCAAGGAUAUUUCGCUUGUGGUAUGGAAAAUGGCUUCAGAAUAUACAGUUGUGAUCCUUUAAAGGCAAAGGCACGUCAUUUGAGUGAUGGAGGUGUUGGUUAUGUGGAAAUGCUAUUUAAAUCUAAUUAUUUAGCAUUAGUUGGUAGUGGAGUAAAACCAAUGUAUCCAACAAAUAAAGUUAUAAUAUGGGAUGAUCUUAAAAAGUCAUCAGCAAUUACAUUAGAGUUCAAUGCUCCUGUAAAGGGUGUUAAAUUGAGAAGAGAUAGGGUAGUAGUAAUUUUAGAAGGAGUUAUAAAAGUUUACACAUUUACGCAAAAUCCACAACAACUUCAUGUAUUUGAGACUAAUCCAAAUCCCAGAGGUCUGUGUGUAUUAUGUCCAAAUAGUAGCAACUCUUUGCUUGCUUUUCCUGGUAGAAAGAACGGACAUGUCCAAGUAAUAGAUUUGGCUAAUACAGAAAAGCAGUCAUUAAAUAUUGAAGCACAUGAAACACCAUUGUCAUGCAUAGCUUUAAAUUUACAAGGUACUAGAUUAGCUACAGCUUCAGAAAAGGGAACCUUAAUAAGAGUAUUUGAAACCCAGACUGGAAAUAUGAUUAAUGAGUUAAGAAGAGGAGCUAAUCAUGCAAAUAUUUAUUGCAUUAAUUUUAAUCAUGAUUCCACUUGGUUGUGUGUGGCAAGUGAUCAUGGAACUGUUCAUGUUUUUGCUGUAGAAGAUCAGAAAUUAAAUCGUCAAUCUAGUUUAGCAUCUGCUACUUUUCUGCCAAAAUAUUUUAGUUCAAGCUGGAGCUUUUGUAAGUUUCAAGUUCCAGGUGGUCCACAAUGCAUGUGUGCAUUUGGAACUGAUAACAAUAGUAUUAUAGUAAUCUGUGCAGAUGGUAGUUAUUAUAAAUUUGUGUUUAAUAAUAAAGGCGAAUGUACGAAAGAGUUUUAUGCACAGUUCCUUGAAUUAACUGAUGAUAAAAUGUGAUUGGAAAACGAAGAGAAGUGUUCAUUGCGUGGGUUCGGAAUGGAAUAGUUUAUAUGGAAACUGAAUAUUGUGUUUGUUAUUUGAAAUCAUAUUAUAUGGUAGAGGACCAAAUGAAAAGUACUAUUAUUUGUUGGUGUUAUGUGGACUGUGCAGACUAUCAAUGGCAAAAAAAAGGUUUAAGAAACGCUAGAGGGCCUAUUUCUGAGAUGUCUACUUACAGAACUAUAAGUUCUUAAAUGUUAUAAGCAGAGAAAGGAAUUCGAUGUUUAGAGUUCCGCUUAAUGUGUCGGUGUAAAAAAUAUCAGCCUUGCCACCAAGGGUAGCGAUAAAAGGGCAGUCUUGUUCUACCAGGAACAAAGAAAUCGUCAGCGCCGAUAUUAUCGUCAUCAUGACCAUCAUCCAGGGCGCCAUAAAGUGACGAUUGUUCUGUUGGAAAAAAUAACUUGUUUUAUCACGUAAUUACCUCUGCUUAUAACUACGUAAACUAUAAUUACCGUGAGCGCACCGUAUAAGAGUAGAAUAGUAGAAAUAAAAUGUAUCACUGUGAUCACUAGUCCACAGUACAUCGAAUAAACUGUUUCUAGAAGCAUAUGAAAGGGCUUCAAAAUUUUUGUGGAGAAAUAUGAUAAUAAACGAAACAAGGAAUGGUGGUAAUUAUUUAGAAAGCAAACUCUCUUUAGAAUUUCUAUGAUUUUUUGAUAUAUUAUAGCGAUCAAUAUUUUGAUCUACUUUUUCCUGUACAUAUAA
rnacentral:misc_RNA from 1 species